rnacentral:rRNA from 1 species
GCGUGCGGGAAGAAGGCCUUCGGGUUGUAAACCGCUUUUGUCAGGGAAGAAAAGUCGUGUACGAAUACUACGCGAUGAUGACGGUACCUGAAGAAUAAGCACCGGCUAACUACGUGCCAGCAGCCGCGGUAAUACGUAGGGUGCAAGCGUUAAUCGGAAUUACUGGGCGUAAAGCGUGCGCAGGCGGUCUCGUAAGACAGAUGUGAAAUCCCCGGGCUCAACCUGGGAACUGCAUUUGUGACUGCGAGACUAGAGUGCGGCAGAGGGGGAUGGAAUUCCGCGUGUAGCAGUGAAAUGCGU